rnacentral:lncRNA from 1 species
UUGGUAAAUUUGAAUCAUAACUUGCGCACUUCAAAACUUUUUAUAUUAGCUAAUCAAGUGGAGCAAGUAUGGUAUGUAAAAGAUCCAAAAGAAAGUGAAAGGCAUGUAGUUAGAAAGACAAAGCCAAGAGAUUACUUUGAUAUAAACAAAGACUUCAAUGAUACUAAUGAAGGGUUGGAAAUUAAGCAACAAAUAGAUCUCCAUGCUAGCAAUUAUGACAAUGAGAUUGAUGUGGAGGAUGAGCACAAUGUAAAAUAGGAAAGAGAGAUGAUAUUGAAGGAAUUGAGAUUGUAACCUAAUAAUCUAUGCAUAUCUAUGCAUUCGUGCUUUUUUUCUUAACUAUGUAUGGAAGACUGUUUGGUUAUGUUGAAUGGCAUUUGUUAUUUUUUUUCUUAACUAUAUAUGGAAGGCUGUUUGGUUA